rnacentral:rRNA from 1 species
UUGGAAGUAAAAGUCGUAACAAGGUUUCCAUAGGCGAACCUACGGAAGGAUCAUUA